rnacentral:rRNA from 1 species
AUUGAACGCUGGCGGCAGGCCUAACACAUGCAAGUCGAGCGAGCGGCGGACGGGUGAGUAAUGUAUGGGGAACUGCCCGAUAGAGGGGGAUAACUACUGGAAACGGUGGCUAAUACCGCAUACUAUCGGAGGGACCCAUAUGGGAUUAGCUAGUAGGUGGGGUAAAGGCUCACCUAGGCGACGAUCCGUAGCUGGUCUGAGAGGAUGAUCAGCCACACUGGGACUGAGACACGGCCCAGACUCCUACGGGAGUCAGCAGUGGGGAAUAUUGCACAAUGGGCGCAAGCCUGAUCCAGCCAUGCCGCGUGUAUGAUGAAGGCCUUCGGGUUGUAAAGUACUUUCAGCGGGGAGGCGUUACCCGCAGAAGAAGCACCGGCUAACUCCGUGCCAGCAGCCGCGGUAAUUC